rnacentral:rRNA from 1 species
CCUACGGGGGACAGCAGUAGGGAAUUUUCGGCAAUGGGCGAAAGCCUGACCGAGCAACGCCGCGUGAACGAAGAAGGUCUUCGGAUUGUAAAGUUCUGUUAUAGAGGAAGAACGGUGUACGUAGGAAAUGACGUACAAUGGACGGUACUCUGUGAGGAAGCCACGGCUAACUACGUGCCAGCAGCCGCGGUAAUACGUAGGUGGCGAGCGUUAUCCGGAAUCAUUGGGCGUAAAGAGGGAGCAGGCGGCCUGGAGGGUCUAUUGUUAAAAGGCAGUGGCUUAACCAUUGCAAGGCGAAGAAACCGGCAGGCUAGAGUGCUAAAGAGGUUCGUGGAAUUCCAUGUGUAGCGGUGAAAUGCGUAGAUAUAUCGAAGAACACCAGUGGCGAAGGCGACGAACUGGGAAGAAACAGACGCUGAGGCCCGAAAGCGUGGGGAGCAAAUAGGAUUAGAUACCCUGGUAGUC